AAAAAAUUAGUUAAAUAAAUAACAUUAGAAUGUCAAACUAAAAUUAUUAAACUAUAAUAUUUUUUG
rnacentral:tRNA from 1 species